GGGCGCGUAGCUCAGUCGGACAGAGCAUCGGCCUUCUAAGCCGAGGGUCGCAGGUUCGAAUCCUGCCGCGCCUACCA
rnacentral:tRNA from 1 species